AUCAGUAGGUUACGGGGGGCGGGGGGAGCGCAGGAGAUGUCAGCUCGCGUUAGGAAAGAGCGGGAUUGGAGGACCUCUGCCCAUCCCCACGUGCUCGGCCGGCGAUUCCGGAAAGGCCAGCGUACUCGUCGUCAGUGGGUUUCCGGGAGGAAGCGGGCGGGACGGUUACGUUUCCGCCGGGGGUGGGGUGGGGGGGUUAGUGUUUGCCGUGUGCACCGCCGUGCUGAGCUAAGCCACCUGUCACCUUCGCGCUCACGGUGACCAGCCUGCCACCGCGAGGCUCCCCGGAAACUCCUGCCACCGCUCCGAGCUGCGCCACCUCCCGGCCGGCCGCCGGGCUCGGGUGGAAACAGGUCGUGGCGAGGCCGCUCUGCUGCCCGCCGAGCGUGUGCCGUCGCCGCCCGGUUUCCCAGAAGAGCCCGGCCCGACUCUGCCCCCGCGCGCCCUCUCCGCCCGCGCCGAUCCGGCUCAUCCGGGUGUGUGAGCCGCGGCCACCACGCGGGACAGUCCCCGCUGCCCGCCCACCUGUCACGUACCAAAGCGCCCGCCGCCAAGCCGCUCCGCGCCCAGCCGAUCGGUUAUGGAUGAAAAAUUGAUCUCUCAAAGAUUCCCUUGAGACUGUGAGCCCCCAGAGAGCAAGAUGGACAUGAAAUACCCUGUUGACCAGAUGACAGACGGGCACCGAUUGACCUGACCUCGUCCACGCCUCCGUCCCUCACGUUACCAGAAAUAAGAAACAUCCCUAUGUUGCUGAACAACUCACCGGAGGAAUUUUAUUUUCACAAGCGAGAAGGUUUGUGGAAUUCUAGCCUCUGAAGGUAUGAGGAAUCACCCAGAGACGCUCCCUCCCAGGGAAGGGGCUUUGUCACCUCUGCCUCAGGGCCACCCUCCUCAGCAGGGACUCGGGUGCGGUCCCGUGUGAGCCCGGCUCAGCUUUGCGUGCUCGGUCCUCAGAGCCGCUGCCAGAGAAGCCCUGAUCCAGUCUGCCCUGGCCCACCUUGCCCUGAAUUUCCCACAGAUUAACCUGUUAGGGCUCCCUCGAAAGUGUGAAUUAUUCCUGCGCAGGAGCAGAACCACGGCCCCAUCUGACAAAGUACACCUGUGCUGAGACGGAUUCAGUUCCCCACACCCUGGGCCAGACAGUUCACGGGAGACGCCACUGAAUGUCCUCAGGGCUCCUUGUGAAAUGAAAAAUGGCAAAUUUGGGGGUUUUAUUUUCUAUCAUUGUGCCUACAAUUUAUUGAGCG